AGCUCGGCUUGUGCUUCUACAUCUGAUUCCAAGAUGUGUUGUACAUCUUUUCAGAUGACCUUCAGCAAAAUCCAUUUUAUUUUCUUGUCUUUCUGGAGAGUGACUUUGUAAGAGGAUGUGAUUCCUGUGUUUUCAGAGUCAAGAUUCCUUUUUACAGAGAAAUGUGAUGUGAAGAUCCAGGAACAGACUGUCUCACCCACUUUGUUCUUUGUCUCUUUCCUUUUGUGUUUAUAUCUUCCCUUUCGCAACUCACAAAUCCUUGGCCCCUGACUCUUUAGUGCCCGUCUCUGUGUCUCGUACCUUCGCUCUCAGCAGAGGGGACUCUCUGGCAGGCUCCCCAGUAAACCGGUCCCCUUCUCGCUGCAGUGGGUUGAAUCGCUCUGAGUCUCCAAACCGAGAGCGCAGUGACUUUGGGGGCAGCAACACCCAGCUGUACAGCAGCAACAACAACCUCUACAUGCCCGACUACUCAGUCCACAUCCUCAGUGAUGUGCAGUUUGUGAAGGUAACUCCCCCAGGAAGGUUAUCCUCUCCCAGUGGGCAGCGUUGGCUGGGUGAGCGGGACAAGAAGACCACCCCCAUUCCUAGGUGGGAUGUUCGCACCAUUCCCC
rnacentral:sRNA from 1 species